rnacentral:rRNA from 1 species
AAUCAACGCUGGCGGCGUGCCUCAGACAUGCAAGUCGAACGAUUAAACUUUCCUUCGGGAAAGAUAUAAAGUGGCGCACGGGUGAGUAACACGUAAGUAAUCUACCUUCGAGUGGGGAAUAACGUCCGGAAACGGACGCUAAUACCGCAUAAUGCAGCGGCACCUUAUGGUGACAGUUGUUAAAGGAGCAAUUCGCUUGAAGAGGAGCUUGCGGCAGAUUAGCUAGUUGGAAGGUAACGGCUUACCAAGGCUACGAUCUGUAACCGGUCUAAGAGGACGGUCGGUCACACUGACACUGAAUAACGGGUCAGACUCC